CUUGUUCAAAGGAAGGGGAGAGACCUGACCACGAAGGCGGGUUUCCCAGGGCAAGGCUUAUCCAUUGCAUCCCGCGUGUGCUGACCCCUGCGAGUUCCCCAAAUGUGGGACUCUCAGGUGCAUAAUCUGUAGAGUGGAGAACUGUUUCAGAAAAGAAUCGUG
rnacentral:snRNA from 1 species